GUAAAGCGAGUGUAGGUGGCUCAUUAAGUCACAUGUGAAAUCCCCGGGCUUAACCUGGGAACUGCAUGUGAUACUGGUGGUGCUAGAAUAUGUGAGAGGGAAGUAGAAUUCCAGGUGUAGCGGUGAAAUGCGUAGAGAUCUGGAGGAAUACCGAUGGCGAAGGCAGCUUCCUGGCAUAAUAUUGACACUGAGAUUCGAAAGCGUGGGUAGCAAACAGGAUUAGAUACCCUGGUAGUCCACGCCGUAAACGAUGUCUACUAGCCGUUGGGGUCCUUGAGACUUUAGUGGCGCAGUUAACGCGAUAAGUAGACCGCCUGGGGAGUACGGGCGCAAUGUUAGAACUCAGAUGAAUUGACGGGGGCCCGCACAAGCGGUGGAGCAUGUGGUUUAAUUCGAUGCAACGCGAAGAACCUUACCUGGUCUUGACACAGUGAGAAUCUCUCAGAGAUGAGCGAGUGCUCUCGGGUACUCACAUACAGGUGCUGCAUGGCUGUCGUCAGCUCGUGUCGUGAGAUGUUGGGUUAAGUCCCGCAACGAGCGCUACCCUUUUCCUUAUUUGCCAGCGGGUUAAGCCGGGAACUUUAAGGAUACUGCCAUGUGACAAACUGGAGGAAGCGCGGGGACGACGUUCAAGUCAUCAUGGCCCUUACGACCAGGGCUACACACGUGCUACAAUGGUAGGUACAGAGGGUUGCUACACAGCGAUGUGAUGCUAAUCUCAAAAAGCCUAUCGUAGUCCGGAUUGGAGUCUGCAACUUGACUCCAUGAAGUCGGAAUCG
rnacentral:rRNA from 1 species